rnacentral:antisense_RNA from 1 species
AAAAGCACUGGAUUAAAUAAACCGCUCUACAAUUCUGUAUGAAGAAUCUUGCUGUGUUGCCCAGGCAGGAAUGCAGUGGUGCAAUCACGGCUCACUGCAGCCUCUACCUCCUAGGCUCAAGCAAUUCUCAGCCUCCUGAGAGUAGCUGGGACUACAGCUCCUCUCUCGAUCGGAAGAUUUUUUACAGCCACCCUACUGAUCUUUAGGGAUUUGUAAACUAUUACCCAGGAAGAAGGCCCAUGGAGCUAAGGCCUCAGAACACCAAAGUCUGGACUGUCUGAGGGCACAUGCUAAUAACAGGAGGCUGGCAAAGUGGCCAGCUCCCAUGCCUUUGCAUGCAUUUGUCUUUACCUCCUGCUGCCUGGGAACAUCCUUCCAGGAGCAAUCGAGUCAACAGCACCACAGACACUGCUAUUCCGUUGAGAAAAGUUUUAUAUGGAAACACAUACUGAUCAUGAACACGAUAAACAGGGAGGGAAGCUCGGGCUCAGCCAGGAAACCUGCCACAAGGAAGACGUUUGGAACUAUCCAGGAGUAGUGUCAAACACUAACACCAUAUUUACAAG